GGGUUAGUAGGUUGGUGAUGCCUCUGGUAUGUACUGGUCUCACUGAUUCCUCCUUCCUGAUGAGCCGUAAUGCCAUUAAUUUGGUGUUGUGGGGAAUCAGGACUGUUACUUUGAAAAAAUUAGAGUGUUUAAAGCAGGCUCACGCUUGAAUACAUUAGCAUGGAAUAAUAAAAUAGGACGUGCGGUUCUAUUUUGUUGGUUUCUAGAGUCGCCGUA
rnacentral:rRNA from 1 species